rnacentral:rRNA from 1 species
GACGAACGCUGGCGGCGUGCCUAAUACAUGCAAGUCGAGCGGACCGAAUGGAAGCUUGCUUUCAUUCGGUUAGCGGCGGACGGGUGAGUAACACGUGGGUAACCUGCCCGUAAGACCGGGAUAACUCCGGGAAACCGGGGCUAAUACCGGAUAACACCGAAGACCGCAUGGUCUUCGGUUGAAAGGUGGCUUCGGCUACCACUUACGGAUGGGCCCGCGGCGCAUUAGCUAGUUGGUGAGGUAACGGCUCACCAAGGCGACGAUGCGUAGCCGGCCUGAGAGGGUGACCGGCCCCACUGGGACUGAGACACGGCCCAGACUCCUACGGGAGGCAGCAGUAGGGAAUCUUCCGCAAUGGACGAAAGUCUGACGGAGCGACGCCGCGUGAGCGAAGAAGGUCUUCGGAUCGUAAAGCUCUGUUGUUAGGGACGAAGAAGUACCGUUCGAAUAGGGCGGUACGGUGACGGUACCUAACGAGAAAGCCCCGGCUAACUACGUG